rnacentral:rRNA from 1 species
AUUGAACGCUGGCGGCAGGCCUAACACAUGCAAGUCGAGCGGAGCGGCGGACGGGUGAGUAAUGCCUAGGAAUCUGCCUGGUAGUGGGGGAUAAGGUCCGGAAACGGGCGCUAAUACCGCAUAAUAGCAGAGGAGCCUAGGUGGGAUUAGCUAGUUGGUGGGGUAAAGGCAUAACAAGGAGACUAUCCGUAACUGGUCUGAGAGGAUGAGCAGUCACACUGGAACGGAGACACGGUCCAGACUCCUACGUGAGGCGGCAGUGGGGAAUAUUGGACAAUGGGCGAAAGCCUGAUCCAGCCAUGCCGCGUGUGUGAAGAAGGUCUUCGGAUUGUAAAGCACUUUAAGUUGGGAGGCGUUACCAACAUAAUAAGCACCGGCUAACUUCGUGCCAGCAGCCGCGGGAAUAC